UCUAGAACUGCACAAGCCGUUCAUUUUCAGUCACCUGAUGAGUUAAACUCCCCUUUUUAUGUGAGGUUGAAGCAGAAAGUCUGAGUUAACAAAGAAAGUUCUUUAUAAUUUGCGAUACCUGUUAUCUCUGACUGAGGCUUUAGUUUUUGUUGAGCUGAUUUACAUGUAGAAACUUUGUUCAGGAAAAUUUCUCAGUAGCUCAGAGGACAGGCUGCUUUUUACACAACCUUGUAAGAGAAUGUCUGUCAAUGCUUUCAGCAGAAUUUAGAAACACAACACUUCCUAAACAGAUAUUUUGAGGCUGUGAGGUUGAACGUUUGAGAGUAUAUCAGUGUGUUUGUUUGUGGUCUUUCUGUUUCUAGGUGGAAGCUGAAACAGUGAGGAUGACUCCUGCUCCUGUCAUCUCUAAGCUCCUCACACAUCUUUACCUGCACAUGAGGAAAAUCACUCCUGUAGAAUGCAGAUGUUUAGAGGGAGAUGAUGCCACAUCUGGUCCAGCUGAUGGAAGGUCUUGAAGUUCUCUGACUGGCCUCGACUGAAGAUGGUCGUCUCACUGGAUUUAAGAUGCACAAUGAGGGACGUCUGCAGAGACUGAGAAAGAGUCUCACCACAUCCUGGCAUGAGGAAAAAGACUUCAUUGAAGACUACAAUGACAAAAACUAUCAGACAGCAGACGACUGCAUUCAAGUCUGUAGCUGCUGAAUUCAUGGAUGAAUCAUCUGGCACUAGAGAGGAAGACCAUCAAACAUCCACGUCAGCUGAUGGAGGUCCAAGAGUCUCACCCAACAAACAACCUACAGAGUGAAGACCUCGAAUCUGAUUGGACGGCCUCCUAUUCAGCCACAUGUG